rnacentral:rRNA from 1 species
UGGGGAAUUUUGGACAAUGGGGGCAACCCUGAACCAGCAAUGCCGCGUGUGUGAAGAAGGCCUUCGGGUUGUAAAGCACUUUUGUCCGGGAAGAAAUCGCACCUGAUAAUACCGGGUGUGGAUGACGGUACCGGAAGAAUAAGGACCGGCUAACUACGUGCCAGCAGCCGCGGUAAUACGUAGGGUCCAAGCGUUAAUCGGAAUUACUGGGCGUAAAGCGUGCGCAGGCGGUUGUGCAAGACCGAUGUGAAAUCCCCGGGCUUAACCUGGGAAUUGCAUUGGUAACUGCACGGCUAGGGUGUGUCAGAGGGGAGUAGAAUUCCACGUGUAGCAGUGAAAUGCGUAGAGAUGUGGAGGAAUACCGAUGGCGAAGGCAGCCCCCUGGGAUAACACUGACGCUCAUGCACGAAAGCGUGGGGAGCAAACAGG